CGUCAUUUCCCUCCCCUCCCCUGUUUUCUCCCUUUUCCCUCCUAUCCAAAAAAGCUCUAUCGGUCUAUAUAUUCUCAUUGUAUCUUAUAGAGAAAGUGCGUGAGAGUAUUUCACUAAUAGUUAUGGAGCUCCUCUUGUGCUCCACAACAUCGAACUUGCUCAACAAAAAAAGAACCGGCAGAGCUUCAUUUAUCCGUGGAAAACGACUAGCAUAAAGCUAACUCGAACCACGUAUAUGAGCACUGAUAAUUUUCCGUGAAAGAGCGAUUGGUAAAAUAGAGUUAUAUAUGUGCCCUUUGAAUUGAGUUUCAUGAUUUGUAAUGGUACAUACGUACCCAACAUGCAACAAUGAUUCGUCCCUGUCAAUUGAUUAAUCAUGCAAGUAAAAAGACUGAAUUUAUGUAUCUUAUAUCUAUCCUUCAAGCUGCAAAUUGACCGUGGACAAGCCACGUAAGCAAUAUUCGUCUGACAGUGCAAGUAUCUUUAGUGUGUGUGUAUAUAUAUAUAUAUAUAUGAAAAGGUGUCUCACGUGAACUUGAGGAUCUUAUUCUUAUCUGAUAAGUUUUUGUAGGUCAAUAAGCAGCAAUGUUGCUAAUUUAUUUGUAUUUUGAAUUAAAAUAGUAACGUUGCCAAUUCGUGCAAAUCAGUUUGCUUUCUUGAAAAUCGGAGAGUCGAUAUCACAAGAGAUGUUUUGAGACAUCGCAUAGUCCGCAACAUAUAAACUCCUAUGAAUAAUCUUUUCCAAGAUACGAGUCAUUAGUUUCAAUUAAAAUGGACUAAUUUUCACUAUAUAUAUAAAUAUUUUGAGAACGUACGGAUAUGAUAUAUUAUCUGUGUACAAAAAUAUCUUAGAUGGACGUUAAUCGUAAUGAUGUGAUUGGAAAGGUCAACUAUAAUACUUUUUUUAUUAUACACCAUUUAUUGCCUACUACUUAUGUCCUAAUUAUAAGUUUAAUUCAUUUAGGAAUAAUUAUUAAAUAAAACCAAAACGAUUGAUAUAUUUUCUUUUUAAGGUCAAAAAAUAUUUAUUUUUGUGAAAAUAAGACCGUAACAUUUGUUAAAAUUUUCGGAUAAGGUGUUAUUGAAGAAUUUCCUUUCUAACUUGCAUGUAGUUAGCUAACAAAUACAAGUGUAUGGAAUGCAAUUACUACUGUACCGGAAAUAAUUAAAAAACACAAAAAGCUUCUUUAUCUAUAUUAUAUUUAAUUAACUUUAUCAAGUGUUUGGGUGAUUCACUUGCUUUAGCAAAAGCAAUAAUCCUAGGAAACAUGACGCACAUAUUUAUUUUUAAAAAAUAAUACACACUGCUUCGUGGUAAUAAAAAAAAGUAAGAUCCCACUUUUUAGUAAUCAGUUAAGUAUUUCUGAUACGUACACUUGUUGGAAAAUAAUAUUUCACAUACCAAAAUCCAAAAUCCAAAAUUCUUUUUUUUUUUUGUCAACUUGCAAUGAAAACUGAAAAGGCUACAAAAGGUGGGGCCUAGGGUACUCUCAAUUUCAUCGCCCUAGGUGCCCUAAUUAAGAUGCGAGGUGGAUUUUCCCAUUAAAAAAAAAUUAUCCCAAACUUCAAUUAAAUAUAUAAUUAUUUUUCUCUGUCAGAUAAUUUUAAAAAUUAAAAUUAACGGACAACGGUAUCGAAUGAGCUAUUUUGAAUUUCUUGUACUAGACAAUAUAUAGAUCGUACUAAGUUGCUUACGUACAUAUACAAAUACAUAUACAUUCUAAAAUGAUCUUUUGAUGCAAAAAAAAAAAAA